rnacentral:rRNA from 1 species
GACGAACGCUGGCGGCGUGCCUAAUACAUGCAAGUCGAACGCAGUGGGGACGGGUGAGUAACACGUGGGUAACCUCCCAUCAGAGGGGAUAACACUUGGAAACAGGUGCUAAACCUAUACUGAUGGAUGGACCCGCGGUGCAUUAGCUAGUUGGUGAGGUAACGGCUCACCAAGGCCACGAUGCAUAGCGGUCUUGGGAGGGUGAUCGGCAACACUGGGACUGAGAAACGUCCAAGCCUCCUACGGAAGGCAGAAGUAGGGAAUCUUCGGAAAUGGACGAAAGUCUGACCGGGAAACGCCGCGUGAUUGAAGAAGGUUUUCGGAUGGUAAAACUCUGUUGUUAGAAAAGCGGUAUCUAACCAGAAAGCCACGGCUAACUACGUGCCAGCAGCCGCGGUAAUUC